AUGGCAAACUGGUUCCCGAUGGCUCUCAAGGAUGGCGCAUGUUCUUGGCUCCUGAACCUGACCGAGUGGUCAGCUUCUUCCUGGGAGGAGAUGCACAACCACUUCAUCGCCAACUUCCAGGGAACUCACGACCGUCCGCCGGCCACGGAUGACCUGCGUCGCAUCAUGCAGCAACCUGGAGAGACCCCGCAGAAGUAUAUCCAGCGCUUCAACAAUGUUCGCGUCAAGAUCCCCAAGGUGUCGGACGAGACCAUCAUCUCCGCAUUCACUGAUGUCGUCCGCAAUGUCAAGAUGAAGGAGGAGCUCGCCAUCCACGAGGAUCUCUGCACUGCUCUGGAGAUGUUCAACAUGGCGAACAAGUGCGCAAGGGCUGAGGAGGGACGCCUCUCCCUCCUCGAGCUCCCCGAUGCUGACCUAGAAGACAAGAAGGCCAAGACCAAGGACGUAAAGCGCAAGGGGCCAACCGUACUUGCGGCCGAACCAGAAACAAAGCGCGGCUGCGGCCACCUCGAGUCAUCCAAGAGCAACCGCCCGUUCUGCAUCUUCCACAAUGUUCACAGCCACAACACCAACGACUACCAGGAGCUCGGGCCCUCCGCGACGGACGCCUUGGUCGACACCCUGAGUGCAAUGAUCGAGGCUAUGGUCAUAGAGGUGGCCGAGGUGGAGGACAUUGUGACGGGCACGACCAUUGUCAGGUGUGGCACGACUAGCCUCGUGAGGACCGCUGGCAGGGCCAGCCUCGUGAGGGCAACUAGAGGGAGCAGCCUCGUUAGGAGCGCCCUCAAGGCAACACAGCUCUGCCGCCUCCGCCUCCACCACCAAGAAGGAAUGAAGAUCACCACCAGGACGAGGGGGCUGGGGGCUUCCAGGAGCCUCGGGUCAUUGCUUGCAUCUUGGGCGUCUCACAGGCCCCAGCUUACCACCGCAUCUUCAAGCAGUUCGCACGCGAGGUGA
rnacentral:rRNA from 1 species